rnacentral:rRNA from 1 species
GACGUAGGGGGCGAGCGUUGUCCGGAUUUAUUGGGCGUAAAGCGCUCGUAGGCGGCUUGUUGCGUCGGCUGUGAAAACCCGUGGCUUAACUGCGGGCUUGCAGCUGAUACGGGCGGGCUGGAGUUCGGUAGGGGAGACUGGAAUUCCUGGUGUAGCGGUGAAAUGCGCAGAUAUCAGGAAGAACACCCGUGGCGAAGGCGGCUCUCUGGACAGUUCCUGACGCUGAGGCGCGAAGGCCAGGGGAGCAAACGGG